GCAAGUCGAACGAACUCGGGCGUCGGUCCAUAUGGGUGAGUGGCGAACGGGUGAGUAACACGUGAGAAAACUGCCCCGAAGUCGGGAAUAACUCCGGGAAAUUUGAGCUAAUACCGGAUGUCCUCUUUCAGCCGCAUGGUUGGUUGAGGAAAGAUUUAUCGCUUUGGGAGGGUCUCGCGUCCUAUCAGCUAGUUGGUGAGGUAAUGGCUCACCAAGGCAUCGACGGGUAGCUGGUUUGAGAGAACGAUC
rnacentral:rRNA from 1 species